CCUACGGGGGGCAGCAGUAGGGAAUCUUCCACAAUGGACGAAAGUCUGAUGGAGCAACGCCGCGUGAGUGAAGAAGGUUUUCGGAUCGUAAAACUCUGUUGUAAGGGAAGAACACGUACGAGAGUAACUGCUCGUACCUUGACGGUACCUUAUUAGAAAGCCACGGCUAACUACGUGCCAGCAGCCGCGGUAAUACGUAGGUGGCAAGCGUUGUCCGGAAUUAUUGGGCGUAAAGCGCGCGCAGGCGGUCCUUUAAGUCUGAUGUGAAAGCCCACGGCUCAACCGUGGAGGGUCAUUGGAAACUGGGGGACUUGAGUACAGAAGAGGAAAGCGGAAUUCCAAGUGUAGCGGUGAAAUGCGUAGAGAUUUGGAGGAACACCAGUGGCGAAGGCGGCUUUCUGGUCUGUAACUGACGCUGAGGCGCGAAAGCGUGGGGAGCAAACAG
rnacentral:rRNA from 1 species